rnacentral:rRNA from 1 species
CUCAAAUGAAUUGACGGGGGCCCGCACAAGCGGCGGAGCAUGCGGAUUAAUUCGAUGCAACGCGAAGAACCUUACCAAGGCUUGACAUGUUCCAGACCGGGCUAGAGAUAGUCCUUCCCUUCGGGGCUGGUUCACAGGUGGUGCAUGGUUGUCGUCAGCUCGUGUCGUGAGAUGUUGGGUUAAGUCCCGCAACGAGCGCAACCCUCGUUCCAUGUUGCCAGCACGUAGUGGUGGGGACUCAUGGGAGACUGCCGGGGUCAACUCGGAGGAAGGUGGGGAUGACGUCAAAUCAUCAUGCCCCUUAUGUCUUGGGCUUCACGCAUGCUACAAUGGCCGGUACAAUGGGUUGCGAUACUGUGAGGUGGAGCUAAUCCCUAAAAGCCGGUCUCAGUUCGGAUUGGGGUCUGCAACUCGACCCCAUGAAGUCGGAGUCGCUAGUAAUCGCAGAUCAGCAACGCUGCGGUGAAUACGUUCCCGGGCCUUGUACACACC